UAUCCCUCAUGAGUCAGUAAGAACAAAGCAAGAGCUAAAAUAAGAGGUAAAAUUGGAUCUAAAUGAAUCAAACAGCAAGAAACAUGACUCAACAUCUUCCUAAUGGUGAUCUGAAAACCCUAUCGAGAAUGAAAAAGCUCUGAUAUUCUUCGUUGAAUCUUCUACAAAUACUCUUCACCUGCAUGUUGGAGCGUUUACAGACGUGGCGACACAAAACAAGUGAUGUCAGAGGUCACCAGCGGCAGCAGCAACCUGCGUGUGGGUGGGAUCACGCAGUGACAGCUGGGUGAGAUCAUUGUGUUCGGG
ensembl:lncRNA